GACAGAGGUGCCAAGCGUUAGGCGGAAUCACUGGGCUUAAAGCGUGUGUAGGCGGGUCGUUAAGUGUCUUGUGAAAUCCCCCGGCUCAACCGGGGAAUGGCUGGGCAUACUGGCGAUCUUGAGCAGUCUAGGGGCAGAUGGAACAGACGGUGGAGCGGUGAAAUGCGUAGAUAUCGUCUGGAACGCCAAAAGGUGAAAAACAGUCUGCUGGGGACUUGCUGACGCUGAGACACGAAAGCCAGGGGAGCGAACGGG
rnacentral:rRNA from 1 species